rnacentral:rRNA from 1 species
UACAGAGGGUGCAAACGUUGCUCGGAAUUACUGGGCGUAAAGCGCGUGUAGGCGGGCUGAUAAGUCAGAUGUGAAAUCCCUGGGCUCAACCUAGGAACUGCAUUUGAAACUGUCUGUCUUGAGUAUCGGAGAGGAUUGCGGAAUUCCUGGUGUAGAGGUGAAAUUCGUAGAUAUCAGGAGGAACACCGGUGGCGAAGGCGGCAAUCUGGACGAUUACUGACGCUGAGACGCGAAAGCGUGGGGAGCAAAC